rnacentral:rRNA from 1 species
UGAAUAUAGGACGUCCAACUUAACUUGGAGUCCGAACUCUCACUUUCUAACCCUGUGCACUUGUUUGGGAUAGUAACUCUCGCAAGAGAGCGAACUCCUAUUCACUUAUAAACACAAAGUCUAUGAAUGUAUUAAAUUUUAUAACAAAAUAAAACUUUCAACAACGGAUCUCUUGGCUCUCGCAUCGAUGAAGAACGCAGCGAAAUGCGAUAAGUAAUGUGAAUUGCAGAAUUCAGUGAAUCAUCGAAUCUUUGAACGCACCUUGCGCUCCAUGGUAUUCCGUGGAGCAUGCCUGUUUGAGUGUCAUGAAUACUUCAACCCUCCUCUUUCUUAAUGAUUGAAGAGGUGUUUGGUUUCUGAGCGCUGCUGGCCUUUACGGUCUAGCUCGUUCGUAAUGCAUUAGCAUCCGCAAUCGAACUUCGGAUUGACUUGGCGUAAUAGACUAUUCGCUGAGGAAUUCUAGUCUUCGGAUUAGAGCCGGGUUGGGUUAAAGGAAGCUUCUAAUCAGAAUGUCUACAUUUUAAGAUUAGAUCUCAAAUCAGGUAGGACUACCCGCUGAACUUAAGCAUAUCAAUAAGCGGAGGAAAAGAAACUAACAAGGAUUCCCCUAGUAGCGGCGAGCGAAGCGGGAAGAGCUCAAAUUUAUAAUCUGGCACCUUCGGUGUCCGAGUUGUAAUCUCUAGAAAUGUUUUCCGCGUUGGACCGCACACAAGUCUGUUGGAAUACAGCGGCAUAGUGGUGAGACCCCCGUAUAUGGUGCGGACGCCCAGCGCUUUGUGAUACAUUUUCGAAGAGUCGAGUUGUUUGGGAAUGCAGCUCAAAUUGGGUGGUAAAUUCCAUCUAAAGCUAAAUAUUGGCGAGAGACCGAUAGCGAACAAGUACCGUGAGGGAAAGAUGAAAAGCACUUUGGAAAGAGAGUUAACAGUACGUGAAAUUGUUGGAAGGGAAACGCUUGAAGUCAGACUUGCUUGCCGAGCAAUCGGUUUGCAGGCCAGCAUCAGUUUUCCGGGAUGGAUAAUGGUAGAGAGAAGGUAGCAGUUUCGGCUGUGUUAUAGCUCUCUGCUGGAUACAUCUUGGGGGACUGAGGAACGCAGUGUGCCUUUGGCGGGGGUUUCGACCUCUUCACAC